rnacentral:tRNA from 2 species
GCCGGAGUGGCGGAAUGGUAGACGCGACAGACUCAAAAUCUGUUUUCUGCGAGGGAGUGAGGGUUCGAGUCCCUUCUCCGGCA